UAGGGAAUCUUCCGCAAUGGGCGAAAGCCUGACGGAGCAACGCCGCGUGAGUGAUGAAGGUCUCCGGAUCGUAAAACUCUGUUAUUAGGGAAGAACAAAUGUGUAAGUAACUAUGCACGUCUUGACGGUACCUAAUCAGAAAGCCACGGCUAACUACGUGCAAGCAGCCGCGGUAAUACGUAGGUGGCAAGCGUUAUCCGGAAUUAUUGGGCGUAAAGCGCGCGUAGGCGGUUUUUUAAGUCUGAUGUGAAAGCCCACGGAUCAACCGUGGAGGGUCAUUGGCAACUGGAAAACUUCAGUGCAGAAGAGGAAAGUGGAAUUCCAUGUGUAGCGGUGAAAUGCGCAGAGAUAUGGAGGAACACCAGUGGCGAAGGCGACUUUCUGGUCUGUAACUGUCGCUGAUGUGAGAAAGGGUGGGGAUGAAACAGG
rnacentral:rRNA from 1 species